rnacentral:rRNA from 1 species
UACAGAGGUCUCAAGCGUUGUUCGGAUUCAUUGGGCGUAAAGGGUGCGUAGGCGGCGCGGUAAGUCGGGUGUGAAAUCUUGGAGCUUAACUCCGAAACUGCAUUCGAUACUGCCGUGCUUGAGGACUGGAGAGGAGACUGGAAUUUACGGUGUAGCGGUGAAAUGCGUAGAUAUCGGGAGGAACACCGGUGGCGAAGGCGGCCCCCUGGUUGGAUACUGACGCUGAGACGCGAAAGCGUGGGGAGCAAACAGG